ACCCAGUUAGGAAGUGGUGGGAUAGGGGUUCUAACUCAGUUCUGCCUAAUCUAAUUCCUGAUUGUUUCUCCCAAUCAGAAUGCAGUCUGAAAUGAUGCUCUUUUUUAGCGCUGUGCUAGCAGGAAGGUCUGUGAAGUUUGCAAUAAAGCCAUUAUGAAGUCAAGAAUGGAGGUUCCAUUUUUAAAGAACUCAGAGGGGGUAGAUCUUGAUUGACAUCUCAUCUGGGGUCACCUGGUCUUCAACUGAGAGAUCUUUUGGUUCGCCACGGAUGCCCCUUGCAGUUAUGGAAGUUCACUCUUUGAGAGAGAGAUAAAUAAACAUUAAAAUGUAAAGAAAAAAAAAAUCAGCAAUGGAAGGAAAAAGGAACAAAAAGCAAUCCAUUGGCGUCAAGCUUGACUGGACCACUCCACUGCUCUGCUGCCGUUAGUGAACCUGACCCUGCAGCAGGAGUCACAGACUCACCACUCACCUCAAGUCCUCACUCCCUGGACCCUCAAUCUACACAUCACUUUGUCUUUUAUUUCCCUGAGAAAUACAGGCCAUCAGUUUGCAGAUCCCUCCUUUCCCCUUACCCUGCAAAUCUCCAUCUAUUUGGAAAAGUGUGCCUCCUACAUUCCAAAGCUAACCCCUCCUCCUCUGCCACUAAUAUCAGCCCUACCUGCCUUCUUCUGUAACUUGCUCCAUUAAUUCCCUCCCCUCUCCCCCAGGUCUCCCUGCCUAUGAACAUAUUCAAGGACAUCAUAUCUUAAAAACAAACAAAUAUCAGGCACAAUGGCUCACACCUGUAAUCCCAGCACUUUGAGAGGUCAAGGCAGGAGAAUCACUUGAAUCCAGGGGUUCAAGACCAGCCUGGGAAACAUAGGGAGACCCUAUCUCUACAAAAAAUAUUUUUUAAAAAAAUUAGCCAGGUGUGGUGGUGUGCACCUGUAGUCCCAACUACUCAGAAGGCUGGGGUGGGAGAAAUAUUUCAGCCCAGGACGUCACUGUGCACAAUUGCUUUACUUUUUUUUCCCUUGGUAUAGACUUGUUGAAGAGUAAGCCUUCAUGUACUGUUUCCUCACUUUACAUUCACUCUCAACUGGAGACAAUAUAGAGUCUUCGCAGAUGCAGCUUUCUCCAGACCAACAAUGUGGUUAGACAUCUGGUUUUUCAUUGUUGUUGUUUGAUUUCUCUGACUAGCUUCCCUGACCAGAGGUCGUUUUGAGUUUCCUUCUCUGGAAUUUGACCACUGAGCAGAGACACAUAGGAGAGAAGACGUGAAUGCUGAGUCAUCAAUCAGCAUCACUGGGAAGAAAAAGCCUCUCAGUUUCUUCUGCUGGGACUCCCAGAGCUGGAGUAUUUUCUGCUCUUCCUAAGGCCUGGUUCUUUGUGAUGAAACAAAUCCGCCUCAACCCAGAACACUAGCAAAGCGUGGGGUAAGGCAAAUAAGACUUAAAAAUUUUGAUGAUUUGUAGAAAACAGAAGUUCACAGUUCAGCAGUUCCUUCUUGCUUGGGAUGAUCUUCACAACACCAGCCCCCAAAUGGAAGGGUAACUAACUGCUCCAGUUCAGUUGGCUACCUUGUGAGGCUGGCAUCCAUUCCUAGCAAAAAUGGGCAGAAAUGGGGAAAUGCCUCCCCUUAAGACCAUAGCUUUUCACCUUGACCUUCCUCCAUUUUAUCUACUCCAGAAGGUCUCCACCAAGCUCCCAGCAGCACAGCAUGCUCAAAACCUGACAUAUCCAUGGUAACUUUUCACAGCAAUGUGAUGAAAUUUGAGAAACAAACCAGAAAUGUAAUGUGAUCACCCACAUCAUAUCAGCCUCACAGGCAAUCAAGAGCUUGGCUUCAAUUACAAAAUGAACUCCAGAAAUCUUCCAACAGUUAGUCAAUCCCAGCCUUUCACAUGAAAAUGUAUUUAAUUUACAUAAUACUGUGAAGAAGGUAUUGUUAUGAUCCUCACUUUGCAGCCUAUGGAAGUAGGGAUUAGUCCUUGAUGAAGAGUCAGAAGAUGUAUGUACUUUCAAAAGUGAUUUAAUAUGGAAACUGGAAAAAAAUUAUAAAACAUGUAAUGGAAUCCUAAAUAGGAUACUGAUAAGGUUUGGCUCUGUGUCCCCACCAAAGUCUCACCUUGAAUUGUAAUAAUCCCCACGUGUCAAAGGCAGGUCCAGGUGGAGAUAAUUGAAUCAUAGGGGUGGUUUUCCCCAUACUGUUAUGAUAGUGAGUUCUCAUGAGAUCUGAUGGUCUUAUAAGGGGCUUUCCCCCUUUUGCUCAGCACUUCUCCUUGCUGCUGCUGUGUGAAGAAGGAUGUGUUUUCUUCCUCUUCCUCCGUGAUUGUAAGUUUCCUGAGGCCUCCUCAGCAAUGCUGAACUGUGAGUCAAUUAAAUCUCUUUCCUUUACAAAUUAACCAGUCUUGGGUAUGUCUUUAUUAGCAGCAUAAGAACAGACUAAUACAGAUACCCAAAGUCAUUGGUAUUAGGACAAAGGAGCAGAAAUUCAUAAAGGAAAGACAGAGACACAGAGAGAUGGCUGACUUUUUUCUUAAUGCCAGGUUUUAGAAAUGAAAGUAUUUAAGGCUUUGAUAAUAUAUAUUAUCAAAUUAUAUUUCAAAGUGUGGUAAUAAUCUACAGUCCUUCCCAAAAGUCCUGAAAAUGUUUAUUUCAUUUCAUUAGAUAUGAUACAUUUAAAAGUCCUUAAACCUUGAUACACAAGAAUAUAUACAAAUAAUUUUGCACUUUCUUCAACAUUUUCUUGUAUGUGUGAUAAAUACAUUUCCUAUUCUGUGUAUUAUCAUUAUGGUUUUUAUACUUUUCAUGUUUUAAUAUUUUAAAUUAUUUUAUAACAAACGUAUUAACCUUUAAAAAGAAGACAAAUGUAGACUGUCUUUAAUUACAUUCUGCAUUAGAAACCAUAAAUAUUUUAGCAUUCAAAUUCAUGCAGUCGAGAAGAGUCUUAAAAAAUUCUGUAGGUGUUCAAAUGAAAAUAUAAAGAGAUUGGAGAAAAAUUGAUCUCAAGCAAGAGAGAGAAUAAAAAUCACUCGUAAGAAGUAUAGGUGUUCUCAUGGCUAAAUUUGGCAGUGGUGGUAAAAAUGGGAGGUGUAGAUAAGAAGAUUUCAAAUAGAAGAAAUAAUCAAGAAUAUAUCCUUAAAACGCUGAGUUGAAACAUAAAACUGAAAUACCAUUAUAUAGGUGAUUCUAUUAUGCAACCAGAGUUGAGAACCACAGAUCUCAUUGAUUUAUGCAGUCCUUUCCAUCAAGAACCCUCUCUGACUUUAAAUUCAAUGUAUCAGUACAUUGAUAUUUUAUCACAUCCACUUCCUUUCUGUCCGUAGUCACCUUGGAUGGACAGUUUACACAAUAAUUUGUAGAAAUAAUAAUAAUAAAAUAAUGUGGAGAAGAGUUUCCACAAUAAUUUUUGGAAUUUAAUGAUUUUGACAUUACACAUAGUCUUAAUGGUUUGAUAGAAACAAAUGUGUGACUUGAUAAAAGAUCAGCUGAUCUCAUGAAUUCUUAAACACAGCUCUUUAAGGAAUUUUUCCUUUUAUAAGGAAUCAUCAUCUUAGAAAAACAUUUAAGCUUUUAAUAUCAUUGGACUUGCUAUUAUUUUUAGUUUAUGAAUUUUUUUAAAAAAAUUAGAAAUGAAUUAAAAUUAAUGGCAGAAAUACCUUCAAAUACUUUCACACUGACUAAUCUGAAUGGGGUUAGGGACAGAUGACAGCAACUCAAAAUGACACAGAGGAAGAAACUUCAGACUUCCUGGGGAUUUUCUGGUAAACUCUGACUAAAAACUAACUCCUCUGAUUGUGCAGCAAUGUUCCCUGCUAACAUAGCCUUCCUUUUGGACUACCAGCUUUUUUUUUUUUUUUUUUUUUUGAAACAGAAUCUCACCUUGUCACCCAGGCUGGAGUGCAAUGGCAUAAUCUCAGCUCACUGCAACCUCUGUCUCCCAGGCUCAAAUGAUUCUCCUGCCUCAGCCUCCUGAGUAGCUGGGAUUACAGGCGCCCAUGGACUACCAGCUUUUUAAGUAGACUUUUUAGCCAAAGGCCAAGGGAAACUACCCUCUUCCUACUGGGGUUCAAAUUGAUUAAAAUGGUUUGCUUUGACUUUUGUUGAAGUCUCUUUAUUUUCUUUUUAAGAUUAUGUUAAAUUAUAAUCCACAUUGGCUUUCUUUUUACAGGUAAACUUUUUCUCUUCUAGAUUUCUAGACGGCCUUCCCCCACUUCGCUUCUCUCUCUGCCAUUUUCCUCCCCUCUCCCGCCUCCCCAAGUUAGAAGAGGCUGACAAAAAGAGGCUCAUCAAAGUUAAAUGUUGCCAACAUAAAUUGGUCCCUCUUCUCUUCCUUGAUGUGACUGGUCUCUCAACCUAUUGAUGGCAUCCAGUUCCAACUUUCCUCUUCUCAUUUGGGACAUUGGGAGGAGAGUAGUCUCUAUUUUUAAUAACAAAGUAG
rnacentral:lncRNA from 1 species